rfam:Schistosoma rodhaini strain Burundi genome assembly, scaffold: SROB_scaffold0003073
AUCCAGCUGACGAGUCCCAAAUAGGAUGAAGUGAGCGUCCUGGAU